CCUACGGGGGGCUGCAGUGGGGAAUCUUCCGCAAUGGGCGAAAGCCUGACGGAGCAACGCCGCGUGAACGAUGAAGGUCUUAGGAUCGUAAAGUUCUGUUGUUAGGGACGAAGGGUAAGAAUCAUAAUAAGGUUUUUAUUUGACGGUACCUAACGAGGAAGCCACGGCUAACUACGUGCCAGCAGCCGCGGUAAUACGUAGGCGGCAAGCGUUGUCCGGAAUUAUUGGGCGUAAAGGGAGCGCAGGCGGGAAACUAAGCGGAUCUUAAAAGUGCGGGGCUCAACCCCGUGAUGGGGUCCGAACUGGUUUUCUUGAGUGCAGGAGAGGAAAGCGGAAUUCCCAGUGUAGCGGUGAAAUGCGUAGAUAUUGGGAAGAACACCAGUGGCGAAGGCGGCUUUCUGGACUGUAACUGACGCUGAGGCUCGAAAGCUAGGGUAGCGAACGGGAUUAGAUACCCCAGUAGUC
rnacentral:rRNA from 1 species